rnacentral:rRNA from 1 species
AACGAACGCUGGCGGCAUGCCUAACACAUGCAAGUCGAACGAAACCUUCGGGCUUAGUGGCGCACGGCUGCGUAACGCCGGGUAAGCUGCCCGUAGGUUCGGAGUAACUCCCCGAAGGAGGUCCUAAUAACGGAUGAUGUCAUCGGACCAAAGAUUUUUGGCCUUGGGGUGGGCCCGCGUUGGAUUAGCUGGUUGGUAGGGUACAAGCCUGCCAAGGCGAGGUUGCAUAGCUGGUCUGGGAGGAGGCCCAACCACACUGGGACUACGGCACGGGCUAGACUCGGACGGGAGGGAGCAGUGGGGAAUAUUGGAGGCUGGGCGAAAGCCUGAUCCAGCAAUGCCGGGUGAGUGAUGAAGGCCUUAGGAUUGUAAAGCUGUUUUACCCGGGACGAUAAUGACAGUACCGGGAGAAUAAGCACCGGCUAACUACGUG